CGGCGACCGCCGCCUAAUCGCCGACGUUCGGCGAGCCGGGGAACCACGUUCCUGGGGUGCAUCCGCGCGAGCGGUAGGGAUCUUCCGUCCCGAACCCGUCAGCUAACCCGGUCGGCGGCUGACGGAAGGACAU
rfam:Micromonospora avicenniae strain DSM 45758 genome assembly, contig: Ga0111705_137